AGAAAGGUAAGCUAAAUAAGCUAUCAGGUUCAUACCCUGCCCAUAGAGGUUAAACCCUCUCCUCUCUA
rnacentral:tRNA from 1 species